rnacentral:tRNA from 1 species
GGAGAGAUGGCCGAGCGGCUGAAGGCAACGGUUUGCUAAACCGUCAUACGUGUUUAAGCGUAUCGAGGGUUCGAAUCCCUCUCUCUCCG